GAUGCUACCGGGCGACCGGAUGCGGAUCUUGAAAGCCUGUCCCAGUUCGGACUGGAGUCUGCAACCCGACUCCACGAAGUUGGAUUCGCUAGUAAUCGCGCAUCAGCCAUGGCGCGGUGAAUACGUUCCCGGGCCUUGUACACACCGCCCGUCAAGCCAUGGGAGCCGGGGGCGCCUGAAGUCCGGGACCGCGAGGACCGGCCUAGGGCGAAACUGGUAACUGGGGCUAAGUCGUAACAAGGUACC
rnacentral:rRNA from 1 species